AAUUCGAUUAGUUUGAUCCUGGCUCAGGACGAACGCUUGCGACGUGCCUAAGAAAUGCAAGUCGAGCGAGGCAGCAAUGCCUAGCGGCGAACGGUCGCGUAACACGUAAGCAACCUGCCCCAAAGACCGGGACAACGUUCCGAAAGGAGCGCUAAUACCGGAUGUGCCCACCUGGUGACAUCGCCGGGUGAGUAAAUCGAGCAAUCGGCUUUGGGAGGGGCUUGCGGCCUAUCAGCUAGAUGGUGGGGUAACGGCCUACCAUGGCGACGACGGGUAGCUGGUCUGAGAGGAUGGUCAGCCGGAUUGGGACUGAGAUACGGCCCAGACUCCUACGGGGGGCAGCAAUUAGGAAUCUUGCGCAAUGGGCGAAAGCCUGACGCAGCGACGUCGCGUGGGGGAGGAAGGCUUUCGGGUUGUAAACCCCUUUUAUCGAGGAAGAAACAAAUGACGGUACUCGAUGAAUAAGCCCCGGCUAACUCCGUGCCAGCAGCCGCGGUAAUACGGAGGGGGCUAGCGUUGUCCGAAGUUACUGGGCGUAAAGCGCGCGUAGGCGGGUUGGUAAGUCCGCUGUGAAAGCCCGGAGCUUAACUCCGGAGGGUCGGUGGAUACUGCCAGUCUUGAAGGUGCUAGGGGGAGAUGGAAUUACCGGUGUAGCGGUGAAAUGCGUAGAUAUCGGUAGGAACACCAGUGGCGAAGGCGGUCUCCUGGGGCAUUCUUGACGCUGA
rnacentral:rRNA from 1 species